ACGUAGGUCCCGAGCGUUGUCCGGAUUUAUUGGGCGUAAAGCGAGCGCAGGCGGUUUAAUAAGUCUGAAGUUAAAGGCAGUGGCUUAACCAUUGUUCGCUUUGGAAACUGUUAAACUUGAGUGCAGAAGGGGAGAGUGGAAUUCCAUGUGUAGCGGUGAAAUGCGUAGAUAUAUGGAGGAACACCGGUGGCGAAAGCGGCUCUCUGGUCUGUAACUGACGCUGAGGCUCGAAAGCGUGGGGAGCAAACAGGAUUAGAUACCCUGGUAGUCCACGCCGUAAACGAUGAGUGCUAGGUGUUAGGCCCUUUCCGGGGCUUAGUGCCGCAGCUAACGCAUUAAGCACUCCGCCUGGGGAGUACGACCGCAAGGUUG
rnacentral:rRNA from 1 species